GUGGGGAAUAUUGGGCAAUGGGGGCAACCCUGACCCAGCGACGCCGCGUGAGGGAAGAAGGCCUUCGGGUUGUAAACCUCUUUUGUAUGGGAAGAAGGACGUGACGGUACCGUACGAAUAAGUCCCGGCUAACUACGUGCCAGCAGCCGCGGUAAUACGUAGGGGACGAGCGUUGUCCGGAAUUACUGGGCGUAAAGGGCGCGCAGGCUGUGCUGCAAGUCAGCUGUGAAAUGUCUGGGCUUAACCCGGGCAUGCGGUUGAGACUGCAGUGCUGGAGUGCUGUAGAGGCAAGUGGAAUUCCCAGUGUAGCGGUGAAAUGCGUAGAUAUUGGGAAGAACACCGGUGGCGAAGGCGACUUGCUGGGCAGCAACUGACGCUGAGGCGCGAAAGCCAGGGGAGCAAACGGGAUUAGAAACCCCUGUAGUCC
rnacentral:rRNA from 1 species